rnacentral:rRNA from 1 species
GACGUAGGGCGCGAGCGUUGUCCGGAAUUAUUGGGCGUAAAGAGCUCGUAGGCGGCUUGUCGCGUCGACUGUGAAAUCCCGCGGCUCAACUGCGGGUCUGCAGUCGAUACGGGCAGGCUAGAGUUCGGUAGGGGAGACUGGAAUUCCUGGUGUAGCGGUGAAAUGCGCAGAUAUCAGGAGGAACACCGGUGGCGAAGGCGGGUCUCUGGGCCGAUACUGACGCUGAGGAGCGAAAGCGUGGGGAGCGAACAGG